ensembl:Y_RNA Y_RNA Y RNA
GACUGGUCCAAAGGUAGUGAGCUAUCUCAAUUGAUUGCUCGUAGUCAAUUACAGAUUGAAUUCCUGUUCUAUACUUUCCACACUUCUCACUACUGCACUUGACUAGAGAU